AAUACUUUACACAUUGAUAUACUCCUUAAAAUUUAACAAUUAAUCCAUAUUAAUUUUAAAAUAUUGAAUUUGCAUACAAUAGCGCCUCCAAGUAAACGUGGACGCCAUAAAGGAUUGAACACGCGGGAAAAGAGGGAACAGUUGGGGCGUCCUCUCCCUCUCGAGUGGGAUGUGCGGGGGAGAACAUAUAAAGAGAUCGGAGAGUACAGCUCAAAUUUCUCAAGAGAGCUCGGAUUACUUGUUCGACAGUACACAGAUCCGGACUGUCCUCAAUGGUCAAAAGUACCAAAUGCCUCGAAAGAAAGAAUACUUGCACAUUUGGAAGAUGAUUUGUUUGAUAUUGGGCGUACUAGAUAUGGAGAAGGGCAUAUGCCUGGGAUCUUGAGAGGCAUUGAUACUUCGUGUGCUAAAAAGUAUUCUGACUGGAAGUACGAUAUUAAAGAGCAUUUAAUGAUUAAUGGGCCACAAAAUCGUUAUGGUGGUUGCACGGAUACGCAGUGACAAAAAGCAAUUGAAUUUUUCCGACGCCCAGAAAUUACGAAACGUUCUGUGGUCAACAAGGAAAAUAGAAGGAAACUGAAAGAGCUUAGCUAUGGAGGUUCUCAGUCAAUCACAGCCUUACGCUAUAAAAAGCGCAAUUUAGAGACUGGGCAACUUGAGUCCAUCCCGGAUAGCUGGAUGGAUACUCACCAUAAAUCAGGCACAGGGUGGGUGACAGAGACAGCCAAAAAAACUUGGGAGGAAUUGCGUGCAUACCGCGACACACAGCAGACACAGGCAACUGAUACUGAGAGUUCCACACCAGUUUCGAGUGCGCCUGAAGAUGAAGACAUAUCUUUGGUACAAACUGUCUUCGGAAAACGACGGGGCCACCAGAAAGGAUAUUGACGUAUCCUUAACAUAAGGGACCGAACUCCAUUUGAUUUUCGU